rnacentral:tRNA from 1 species
UGAGGUAGAGCUCAGUGGUAGAGCGUUUGCUUACCAUGCACGAGGUCCUUGGUUCAAUCCCCAGCGCCUCCA